CCCUUAGAUGUUCUGGGCCGCACGCGCGCUACACUGAUGCAUGCAACGAGUUCUAUCCUUGGCCGGAAGGCCUGGGUAAUCUGUGAACGUGCAUCGUGAUAGGGAUAGAUUAUUGCAAUUAUUAAUCUUGAACGAGGAAUUCCUAGUAAACGCAAGUCAUCAGCUUGCAUUGAUUACGUCCCUGCCCUUUGUACACACCGCCCGUCGCACCUACCGAUCGAAGGUAAUGAUGAGCCCUCAGGAUUGUGGCCUCGUCGCGUCGGCGUCUUGGCUGCGAGAAUCUGUGCAAAUCCCUACCUUUAGAGGAAGGUGAAGUCGUAACA
rnacentral:rRNA from 1 species